rnacentral:tRNA from 1 species
GUAAGAGGAAAAUCCGUCGACUUUAAAAUCGUGAGGGUUCAAGUCCCUC